UUCCAUGAAGCCGGAAUUGCUAGUAAUGGCAGGUCAGCAUACUGCCGUGAAUACGUUCCCGGGCCUUGUACACACCGCCCGUCACACCAUGAGAGUUGGGAAUACCCGAAGCCUGUGAGCCAACCGUAAGGGGGCAGCAGUCGAAGGUAGAAUCAAUGAUUGGGGUGAAGUCGUAACAAGGUAGC
rnacentral:rRNA from 1 species